rnacentral:rRNA from 1 species
GUAAACCUACGGGGGGCAGCAGUGGGGAAUUUUGGACAAUGGGCGCAAGCCUGAUCCAGCUAUUCCGCGUGUGGGAUGAAGGCCCUCGGGUUGUAAACCACUUUUGUAGAGAACGAAAAGAUACCUUUUAAUAAAGGGAGUUGCUGACGGUACUCUAAGAAUAAGCACCGGCUAACUACGUGCCAGCAGCCGCGGUAAUACGUAGGGUGCGAGCGUUAAUCGGAAUUACUGGGCGUAAAGCGUGCGCAGGCG